AGUGAACGCUGGCGGCAGGCCUAAUACAUGCAAGUCGAACGGCAGCACAGCAGAGCUUGCUCUGUGGGCGGCGAGUGGCGGACGGGUGAGGAAUACAUGGGAAUCUGCCCAGUCGUGGGGGAUAACGUAGGGAAACUUACGCUAAUACCGCAUGCGCCCUUCGGGGGAAAGCCGGGGACCUUCGGGCCUGGCGCGAUUGGAUGAGCCCAUGUCGGAUUAGCUAGUUGGCGGGGUAACGGCCCACCAAGGGGACGAUCCGUAGCUGGUCUGAGAGGAUGAUCAGCCAUACUGGAACUGAGACACGGUCCAGACUCCUACGGGAGGCAGCAGUAGGGAAUAUUGGACAAUGGGCGCAAGCCUGAUCCAGCCAUGCCGCGUGAGUGAAGAAGGCCCUCGGGUUGUAAAGCUCUUUUGUCCGGAAAGAAAAGCAUCCAGUUAAUACCUGGGUGUCCUGACGGUACCGGAAGAAUAAGCACCGGCUAACUUCGUGCCAGCCGCCGCGGUAAUAC
rnacentral:rRNA from 1 species